CUCCUGUAGAACAUGGUUAAACCAUGAGACAGAAAGGAGGAGGGAGAGGUACACACACACACACAAUGGACACUGAAUGCAUCCAAAAUAAAAUCCAGCCAUACAAAGUAAAAAAUGGAAACCGUUUUACAACUCUACUGGUGGGAAGCCACAGUAUCUGGGGUGAGGGCUGCAUAGUCCAGUUAUAGUGCAAAGGAUAUUUCGUCUCUAGGAAGGAGGCUGAACUCAAAACUUGCAUGCAUGCUCUGUUUGGAUGGUGUGAGGGG